GGAAUCUUGCGCAAUGCGCGAAAGCGUGACGCAGCAACGCCGCGUGGGGGAAGAAGGCCUUCGGGUUGUAAACCCCUUUCAGUUGGGACGAAGCUUCAGCGGUGAAUAGCCGUCUGGAGUGACGGUACCUUCACAAGAAGCCCCGGCUAACUACGUGCCAGCAGCCGCGGUAAUACGUAGGGGGCUAGCGUUGUCCGGAAUCAUUGGGCGUAAAGAGCGUGUAGGCGGCCCGGUAAGUCCGCUGUGAAAGUCGGGGGCUCAACCCUCGAAAGCCGGUGGAUACUGUCGGGCUAGAGUGCGGAAGAGGCGAGUGGAAUUCCUGGUGUAGCGGUGAAAUGCGCAGAUAUCAGGAGGAACACCGAUUGCGAAGGCAGCUCGCUGGGACGUAACUGACGCUGAGACGCGAAAGCGUGGGGAGCAAACAGGA
rnacentral:misc_RNA from 1 species